rnacentral:tRNA from 1 species
GGGAAGUUGGCUCAGUGGUAGAGUGCUUGCCUUGCAGCAUGAGGCCUUGGGUUCGAUUCCUAAGUACCA